CGAAGGUCCUCUUUGUGAUCUUCCACAGCUUUCUUGAACUGUCUUGAAUUUUCCGAUCGAUACCGGUGCAUGAUUAAUUCCCAACACAAUUCAAGAAAGCUGUGGAAAACUACUAAGAGGAUUUGGUCAUCAAUCUCUCUUUUGAUAGAGAUC
rnacentral:pre_miRNA from 1 species